GUAUGACCUUGAAGAGUAAGCAAUGUAUUAAGUAUAUUUGGGGUUACCAAAGAGUAUGGUAAGAACCUCAUCUUAAAUUAUACUUGAGUUCUUACAAAGAUGCAUAGAGUUCUUACGAAGAUGUAUAGGUAUGCAGUAUUUAUUAUUUUUGUCUCUGUGUAUUUUUGUCAAUGAGGUAAAACCACAGAACAAAUCAAUCAGAAGUAUUAACUGGUGUAAUUUGAGAACACCCUGGAACAAGAGAAAUAUCCUACCUCACAAAAUUUAACAUGAGACAUCUUGUUUUCACCUUUUUUCAAGGAAGCAGCUCACACAGUGUAAUCAUGAAGGUAUCCAUGUCCUGGAACAUCUGGUAAUAGCAUAUCUCUAAUAGUAUUUUUACUACUAUCCUCAAAAUUCAAACAAAACAGUCAGAUAUUUUGAUCAACAAGAGGUACAAUCUCAAACCAUGUGGUGAAAAAAGACAACACAUAACCAAAAAAAGUGACGGAAAAUUGUCUACACUGACAACAAAAUAUUAUACAGCAACAACCCAUUCAAAGACCUGAGAGAUUCUCAAGCACCAAUUCAACCAAAGACCAGGGAUGAACUCCAGCACUGAGCACCAACCAAAACAAAGAACAGACAUGAACUAGGGCAAAAAGCACCAACCCAACCAAAGACCUAAGAGGUUUUCAGGCACCAUGCAACCAACUAAACUAAAUAGCCAGGGAUGAUCUCAGACACCAUGCACCAACCUUUCCAAAGAUCAGGGAUGCUUUCAGGCACAACAACCUUACCAAAGACCAGGAAUGAUCUGACACCAAGCACCAACCAAAACAAAAAAAGGGUGAUCUCAGACACCACAGAAUGUUAGCAAGUAUUUGAUAUGUUAACUUAUCUACUACUUGUGUAAGUAAAAUGGGUUUUUUUCAUUCUGUGCUGCAUUUAUUCUAUCAAAAAUUGUCAAAAUGCAACAUGAAAUU